GCGGGUAUAGUACAAGGGCAGUACGUCUGGCUUCCAACCAGGAUAUGCGGGUUCGAGUCCCGCUACCCGCUCCA
rnacentral:tRNA from 1 species